rnacentral:tRNA from 1 species
CGGGGUGUAGCGCAGCGGCUAGCGCAUCUGCUUUGGGAGCAGAGGGGCGAAGGUUCAAAUCCUUUCACCCCGACCA